rnacentral:rRNA from 1 species
CAAAUUUUAAAUCACCUAGGUUACCUGGGCGAGUUGUAAUUUGAAGAAAGUGYUUUGAUGCUCUGGUUUUGUCUAAAUCCUUUGGGAUAAGGUAUCAUAGAGGGUGAGAAUCCCGUUCAUGAUUUAAACCCUGGGUGUCACCUAAUUCACUUUCUAAGAGUCGAGUUGUUUGGGAUUGCAGCUCAAAAUGGGUGGUAAAUUUCACCUAAGGCUAAAUAUGUGCAAGAGACCGAUAGCGAACAAGUACCGUGAGGGAAAGAUGAAAAGAACUUUGAAAAGAGAGUUAAAUAGUACGUGAAAUUGUUGAAAGGGAAACGAUUGAAGUCAGUCAUGCUUGCAGGGAAUCAGCAUGGUGGUUUAUUCUUCCUUGUGCACUUUCUUGCUUGGCAGGUUAGCAUCAAUUUCGAUUGUCAUUAAAGAAUUGGGGGAAUGUGGCUUCUUCGGGAGUGUUAUAGACCCUGGUAGAUGUGGCGAUCGGGAUUGAGGAUUGCAGCGAAUGCUUUUUGGCUAGUCACCUGGCUUCUGAUAGUCGCCUUGCUUCCGAUAGCUUGCUAAUGGUGGUGAGACUCGAUU